GGUCCUUUUUGUCCCCCACUGGUCUUCUGAGCAGAACUGACGCAGCUUCAUCUCAUUCCUGAGGUAUCCUGAGCCCCUCAGUGCCAUACUCCUGCGUGAGUGCUGUGAACUGGAGCAAAUGGGUUGAAAAUGGCCAGAAGUUGCUCUUGGUCACUUUAGAUCUUUUAUGACAAAGGAAAAAAAUUCAAUUUCUGACCAGUUUAAAUCCAUUUGAGCUAGUUUAGGCUAAUUAUGCAGAGCUGGAGCCUGAGGUCGGUAAAUCCAGGAAGAUGGCUGAAUACUAUGCUGACUCAAGCCCAGACAAGGAGCCAGAUGAAAAGCCUGAGGCUCCAAGAGCUUCUGUGACUUGUCCAAGGCCAUGCAGCUAGUUCACAGUGAGGCACAGAAUCAGUUGUAGAAGCACUUCAGGGAAUUCGGAUACUGUUUUGUGGCCUGGCGAGAUCAGAGCCCUUACUAUAUUAGUCCCUGCCAGUCAUCAGCCUCUGGUUUUCCUGUUAUCCUGCUGCUCCCUAGAAUGCAGCUACUGAGUGGCCUAAGAGCCAGCAAAGAGGAAAGGCCAUUUGAGGACAGAGUGAGAAGAAGAUGGUUAUCCACAAGCCAGGAAAAGAAGCCUCACCCGAAACCAAUCCUGAUACCCUGAGUUUGGGUUUUCAGCCCCUACAACUGUGAGACAAUGAAUGUCUUCUUUACAGCACACAGUCUAUGAUAUCUUGUGGUAGACCAAGGAGACUAAUCUAUUACUUACUAUUGGGACCAUUACUUAGAAGCAAAUGAUCUUCGAAAAUGGUAAAGUUAUUUGCGUUUGCUAUUUCCAUUCUCCCUUUCCUUUGUUGAGCCAUUUAAAACAAUGAUACUGGCACUCAUUUCUCUUUAGCUUUCAGUAUUUGAUUUCCAACCAUAUGGUUAAGGUCUGACAAACACUGCCUUGAUAAUACACUACAGAGUGAUAGAGACAGUCCCAGAUUUCCAUCCAAAGAGUGUAUUCUAAGUUUGGGUGGUGGCAAUGGAGCACUCUGACCUGUGAAGCAUCAUUGUUUGAAGGCUUUAUUUGUGAUACUCUUUAGAUGUCAGUUUGGAACUGAGUUACAGACUAGAUCAUAUCUCCUCAUUCUCUCCAUUUGAUCUUUCUUCCCUCAUUAAUUCCAAAGUAUGCAAGCUAUAUGCUUUCUAGUGUUUUCCCCCCUUCACAGCCAUUAUCUAGGCACCAAAAACAGAGAUGGAAAGAGACAGGUUUAAUCCAAAGCACCAGUUUCCAUUACCUUAAGCUGCCUCAAUGAUUUUUCUGAUGGGAUGAUAUUUCUUACACUUGGUCUCAGGCCCAAGGUAUAUGCAAUACGUCAAUGAAAUUGCUUGCGACACAUUGAAGUGAGUGUCUGGGAACUAUGAGUUCCUUAACUAUUAAAAAAAAAAAAGAUUCAGAACUUCUUGUAUAGGCACAGAGUACAGAGUUUUCACUUGCCAUGAAGAUCUACCCUGAUGUUGAAAGUGUUUUGUUCUGCGACAGACACAAAGAUACAUAUUUAUAGCCUAUGUCAAAAGUGUAAAUUCCACAAGCUUCAUGUGAAGCCCUUCCCAUUACGGUGCUGCCCUCCCUCUCCACUCGAAUCUUCUGUUAUGCUGUGUACUUCAGUUGACUUCCAAAUUUGUUUCUUUGCAGUGUAAGUUGUUGACCACACAGUAGGCCUUGGGGCUAUAAAGACAACUAUCUACAGGCCCUUCUUCCACACAUGCUGGAGCGCUUGGGCUCACAGGAGAACCUUCUAAAAUGUCUCAUGUGGCUAAUGGCACUAUAGAAGCUUGUUUCUCAUAGAAAAGUCCCACAUGAGGAAUUCCAUUUAUGGCAGCCUCAUAGAAGGAAUAAGGACCAGGGAGCAGUCUUCUGCCAUGUACAGUAUUAAGACCUGUGUUCUGGCUCUCUUGUGUUAGGUUUAUGCAAUUACCUUUUUGGAGCAAACACAGAUAUAAUAUGACUUUUCUACUUCACCAUAGGGAAGAGUUUAGCAAACUCAAGGAUUGAGAUAUAAGCAGCACCGAAUUUUCUCUCAGCAGUGAAUGUUUGUUCCUGAGCAAGAUGGUUUUCAUUAAAAAAAAAAAAGUCCAGAAAGCUAUGGAAAGUGCUGA